UUGCAUCUUCUACCUUGUUUUGUUUUACAGACAGUUAAAAGAAUAUGAUGCCUCCUCUCGUUUCAUUUCCUUAGUUAUAAUAAGAUUUGCAUUUGUCUCAUGCAAGAAAUCGUAAUGUUUUGCAUGAUUUCAAUCUAUAGGUGAAGAUUAUGUUUCAUUGUGGUUUUUUACAUGAAUGAAGAUGAUAAUGGGGUUUUCAUGAAAAAAUUGAUGUCUUGCAGGGCAACCGGGGAAAAGGAUGUAAGGUUCAAGGUGCUCUACUGUGGAAUAUGUCACUCCGAUCUACAUAUGGUCAAGAAUGAAUGGGGCUCUUCCACCUACCCUCUAGUUCCUGGGUAUGUUCCCUGUUCUCUUUCCCUCCUUGCAAUUUUCUUUCCAACUUUUUCCUUGUUGAUCCUUGUAUGAGUGUAUCUACAAAUGUUUUACAAAGAUCUAAAGCUUAAAAGGUGUAGAUUGGCCAAUAUGGGAUUCAGACUGAGCUCCUAGGUUUCACUGACAUGACAUUCGAAUGAAAAAUAGGAGGUUGUCAAUUAGGAAUGUCGAGCCCUUUUAGAUGGAAAAAAGAAAUGGUUUGACCAGAAUUAAGAAACAUUGUACUUGAUCAUAUCUGAUAUGUGAUUUAAUAUUUUUUAAUUUGACUAGAAGAAUGUUCAUAUUUCCUACGGCUUUCAAGUUUCAACAUCUUGUACUGGAGUCCAUUUUCAUCCCCAAAGCCUGAAUCUUGUGGCUUUCUUUUCCACGGCUCAUUAGAAAUAUAAACGAGACGAUAUAAGGAAAGCUAACAAAAAGGUUCUUGUUUCAAAGUGCGCUUUUUCAUGUUCAAAAAGCAAGAUGCUGAUCACCUCCAUAGAUAAUACUAUCAAAUUAUCUUUUUCAUGAACUAUAUAUUUUUCCUUAAUCACACAUCUAAUACCCAUAGAAACUGAAUUGGACAAUGCAGGCAUGAGAUUGUAGGCAUAGUGACAGAGUUGGAAGCAAGGUGAAAAGCUUAAAGUAGAGAAUAAAGUUGGUGNNNNNNNNNNNNNNNNNNNNNNNNNNNNNNNNNNNNNNNNNNNNNNNNNNNNNNNNNNNNNNNNNNNNNNNNNNNNNNNNNNNNNNNNNNNNNNNNNNNNAUAAUAAGAUUUGCAUUUGUCUCAUGCAAGAAAUCGUAAUGUUUUGCAUGAUUUCAAUCUAUAGGUGAAGAUUAUGUUUCAUUGUGGUUUUUUACAUGAAUGAAGAUGAUAAUGGGGUUUUUAUGAAAAAAUUGAUGUCUUGCAGGGCAACCGGGGAAAAGGACGUAAGGUUCAAGGUGCUCUACUGUGGAAUAUGUCACUCCGAUCUACAUAUGGUCAAGAAUGAAUGGGGCUCUUCCACCUACCCUCUAGUUCCUGGGUAUGUUCCCUGUUCUCUUUCCCUCCUUGCAAUUUUCUUUCCAACUUUUUCCUUGUUGAUCCUUGUAUGAGUAUCUACGAAUGUUUUACAAAGAUCUAAAGCUUAAAAGGUGUAGAUUGGCCAAUAUGGGAUUCAGACUGAGCUCCUAGGUUUCACUGACAUGACAUUCGAAUAAAAAAUAGGAGGUUGUCAAUUAGGAAUGUCGAGCCCUUUUAGAUGGAAAAAAGAAAUGGUUUGACCAGAAUUAAGAAACAUUGUACUUGAUCAUAUCUGAUAUGUGAUUUAAUAUUUUUUAAUUUGACUAGAAGAAUGUUCAUAUUUCCUACGGCUUUCAAGUUUCAACAUCUUGUACUGGAGUCCAUUUUCAUCCCCAAAGCCUGAAUCUUGUGGCUUUCUUUUCCACGGCUCAUUAGAAAUAUAAACGAGACGAUAUUAGGAAAGCUAACAAAAAGGUUCUUGUUUCAAAGUGCGCUUUUUCAUGUUCAAAAAGCAAGAUGCUGAUCACCUCCAUAGAUAAUACUAUCAAAUUAUCUUUUUCAUGAACUAUAUAUUUUUCCUUAAUCACACAUCUAAUACCCAUAGAAACUGAAUUGGACAAUGCAGGCAUGAGAUUGUAGGCAUAGUGACAGAGGUUGGAAGCAAGGUGGAAAAGCUUAAAGUAGGAGAUAAAGUUGGUGUUGGGUGUAUGGUUGGAGCUUGCCACUCUUGUGAUAAUUGUGCUAAUGAUCUAGAAAAUUACUGCCCCAAAAUGAU
rnacentral:lncRNA from 1 species